CUUGGGGAAGGACAAACACCAGAGGAGGUUCCUGAUGCAACCUUGAAAUCUCAGCCAUCCAUGUUAUCACCGUCUGAAAGGCUGCAAAGAAUCAGGAAGAGGCCACACAGAAGCAAAGAGGACCUGCUGUAUGAAGUCAUGCAGCACUCCCUUAA